UGGGGGAUAGUCUAGUGGUAAGACGACGGGUUCUGGCCCCGUUAUCCCAGGUUCGAAUCCUGGUCCCUCAGCCA
rnacentral:tRNA from 1 species